rnacentral:rRNA from 1 species
UACGUAGGGCGCAAGCGUUGUCCGGAAUUAUUGGGCGUAAAGAGCUCGUAGGCGGCUUGUCACGUCGGAUGUGAAAGCCCGAGGCUUAACCUCGGGUCUGCAUUCGAUACGGGCUAGCUAGAGUGUGGUAGGGGAGAUCGGAAUUCCUGGUGUAGCGGUCAAAUGCGCAGAUAUCAGGAGGAACACCGGUGGCGAAGGCGGAUCUCUGGGCCAUUACUGACGCUGAGGAGCGAAAGCGUGGGGAGCGAACAGG